GCGCCCUCUUUUUUACCUUGCUCUAUGUAAUUCUUUAUACGGUUAUAUUGAGUUUUGUUAACAACCGGUCCAACAACAGUAUUAUCGUCAAAAGGCAUGCCAACAAUAUAAUCUUGAAUGACGUGCUUUUUAAACAGCUCGAUGAAUUUAUCGUAAACAGAAUCUUGAACGUAAAUCCUUGAAUUAGAAGUACAAAUCUGACCGCUGUUAUACAUAAUUCCAAGGGCUGCCCACUUUACAGCUUGAUCUAAAUCGGCAUCCUCAAAAACCAAAAAGGGAGAUUUCCCGCCGCAUUCUAGAGUCACUGCUUUUAAAUUUGAGGCUGCUAAUUGUUGAACAAUAACUCCGACUUUAGUAGAACCUGUGAAAGCAAUUUUAUCAAUUCCAGGGUGUUUGGCCAUAUAUGAACCUGCAACUGUACCGAGACCACUUAUGAUAUUCACGACACCUUUAGGAAAUCCUGCUUCUUCAACUAAAGUUGCAAAGUAAAGCAGUGAUAGUGGUGUUGUCUCAGCAGAUUUAAUGAUUAUACAAUUUCCGGCAGCAAGCGCAGGUGCAAUUUUCCAUCCGGCCAUAUUCAAUGGAUAAUUCCAUGGGACUAUCUGACCACAUACACCAAUUGGAGUCCUUUUCGCAUAAGCUAACUUUUCAGGUCCAGUAGGUAUGACUUGACCAUAUAUUUUAUCAGCCCAACCGGCACAAUAACGUAAAAGAGCAAUCGUUCCAUCGACAUCUCCGCGAGCAUUUGAAACAAGUGGUUUUCCUGAGUCCAUAGCUUCAAUAGCAGCUAAAGUAUCCGCAUGCUUUUCAGUUAACUCGGCUAGCUUCAUUAGUAGUUCACCCUUUUCAGAUCCAGGAACCUUUUUCCAAGUUUUAAAGGCUUCCUUAGCAGAUUUCACCGCAUAGUCAAUUUCUUUCUCACCAGCAAGAUAUACUUUUGCAAUGACCUCCUCAAUGGAAGGGUCAACGGUCUCCCAUGUUUCAGCUGAUUUGUGCCACUCUCCAUUAAUAUACAGCCCUAUAGGUUGUUUGACAGAUUUUCCGUUAGGGAAAUUAAUGGAGACAAAUAAAUCUUCUGACAUUGGGCUGAAAUUCUAAACUUAUUCUGAAAGAUUGACAAUUUGGGGAUAUUGAAAAGAAAACUUAAUAACCAUCUACUUAAUAAAUAUGAACUUAUUAUUAUCUAUCUUUGAGCUAAUUUUUAAACCAUCUAAGCUAGCGAAGUGUUAUUGGCGAAAUUGCACGGACAUACGAUAAAAAUCUUAUAGCUGCUCACGAGUAUAUCAUCAUGAUCAAGUUACACGACAUAUUAACUGUCCUAGUAACCAGAUAAGAAAUUCAAAGAAAAUGUUACUUUAUUAUUACUAAUUCUUUAGAAUUGUUUUAAAAUAACAAUUAUCCCAA